GUCGAGCGAGAAGACGUAGCAAUACGUUUGUAAAGCGGCGAACGGGUGAGGAAUACAUGGGUAACCUACCCUCGAGUGGGGAAUAACUAGCCGAAAGGUUAGCUAAUACCGCGUACGCUCCUUGGACUUCGGUUCAGGGAGGAAAGCGAUACCGUGGGUAUCGCGCUCUUGGAUGGGCCCAUGUCCUAUCAGCUUGUUGGUGAGGUAACGGCUCACCAAGGCUUCGACGGGUAGCUGGUCUGAGAGGACGAUCAGCCACACUGGCACUGCGACACGGGCCAGACUCCUACGGGAGGCAGCAGUAAGGAAUAUUGCGCAAUGGGCGAAAGCCUGACGCAGCGACGCCGCGUGGGGGAUGAAGGUCUUCGGAUUGUAAACCCCUUUCGGGAGGGAAGAUGGAAUGGGGUAACCCAUUCGGACGGUACCUCCAGAAGCAGCCACGGCUAACUUCGUGCCAGCAGCCGCGGUAAUACGAAGGUGGCAAGCGUUGUUCGGAUUUACUGGGCGUACAGGGAGCGUAGGCGGUUCGGUAAGCCCUUUGUGAAAUCUCCAGGCUUAACCUGGAACAGUCGGAGGGGACUGCUGGGCUAGAGGACGGGAGAGGAGCGCGGAAUUCCCGGUGUAGCGGUGAAAUGCGUAGAGAUCGGGAGGAAGGCCGGUGGCGAAGGCGGCGCUCUGGAACGUUUUUGACGCUGAGGCU
rnacentral:rRNA from 1 species